CUCCCCAAAGGAACCAAACCCUAGCUCAACCUUAAAUGAUCAAAUUGAAGAGUAAAUCGAAGCUUAAAUUCAUGGAUGAACAUGGAUUAAUGACCACCAUCACGAGGGGAUCAUAAGUAGAGGAAUCAUGUCAAGAUGGACUCAAACAUGAAAGGCUAAUGGGUCAAGAGGAGGCAAGGAAGCGGAUACGGACACAGAUGCACAAGGUUGUAUGAGUCACGGAGGAUCACCGAGGAGUGAAGAUCGAAGACCGAGUCACAAGUUAGAUUGCACGGGAAUGUUUGAAUAAGAAAAUUAGUAAAUAUAGUUUAUGUUUCUAUUUGUAAAUAAGUUCGAUGGGUGUAUUCAGUGAAAUAGUGUCACCUUAUAAUGAACUUCAAGUAAG